AUUGAACGCUGGCGGCAUGCUUUACACAUGCAAGUCGAACGGCAGCACAGGGAGCUUGCUCCCGGGUGGCGAGUGGCGCACGGGUGAGUAAUACAUCGGAACGUGUCCUGUUGUGGGGGAUAACUGCUCGAAAGGGUGGCUAAUACCGCAUGAGACCUGAGGGUGAAAGCGGGGGAUCGCAAGACCUCGCGCAAUUGGAGCGGCCGAUGCCCGAUUAGCUAGUUGGUGAGGUAAAGGCUCACCAAGGCGACGAUCGGUAGCUGGUCUGAGAGGACGACCAGCCACACUGGGACUGAGACACGGCCCAGACUCCUACGGGAGGCAGCAGUGAGGAAUAUUGGUCAAUGGACGAGAGUCUGAACCAGCCAAGUAGCGUGCAGGAUGACGGCCCUAUGGGUUGUAAACUGCUUUUAUAAGGGAAUAAAGUGAGUCUCGUGAGACUUUUGCAUGUACCUUAU
rnacentral:rRNA from 1 species